AACGAACGCUGGCGGCAGGCCUAACACAUGCAAGUCGAGCGGACCUUUCGGGGUCAGCGGCGGACGGGUGAGUAACGCGUGGGAAUAUGCCCUUCUCUACGGAAUAGUCCUGGGAAACUGGGGGUAAUACCGUAUACGCCCUUUGGGGGAAAGAUUUAUCGGGGAAGGAUUAGCCCGCGUUGGAUUAGGUAGUUGGUGGGGUAAUGGCCUACCAAGCCGACGAUCCAUAGCUGGUUUGAGAGGAUGAUCAGCCACACUGGGACUGAGACACGGCCCAGACUCCUACGGGAGGCAGCAGUGGGGAAUCUUAGACAAUGGGGGCAACCCUGAUCUAGCCAUGCCGCGUGAGUGAUGAAGGCCUUAGGGUUGUAAAGCUCUUUCAGCUGGGAAGAUAAUGACGGUACCAUCAGAAGAAGCCCCGGCUAACUCCGUG
rnacentral:rRNA from 1 species